UACACUCCUGCGGGAGGCAGCAGUGGGGAAUUUUGGACAAUGGGCGAAAGCCUGAUCCAGCAAUGCCGCGUGAGUGAAGAAGGCCUUCGGGUUGUAAAGCUCUUUUGUCAGGGAAGAAACGGUGAAAGCUAAUAUCUUUUGCUAAUGACGGUACCUGAAGAAUAAGCACCGGCUAACUACGUGCCAGCAGCCGCGGUAAUACGUAGGGUGCAAGCGUUAAUCGGAAUUACUGGGCGUAAAGCGUGCGCAGGCGGUUUUGUAAGUCUGAUGUGAAAUCCCCGGGCUCAACCUGGGAAUUGCAUUGGAGACUGCAAGGCUAGAAUCUGGCAGAGGGGGGUAGAAUUCCACGUGUAGCAGUGAAAUGCGUAGAUAUGUGGAGGAACACCGAUGGCGAAGGCAGCCCCCUGGGUCAAGAUUGACGCUCAUGCACGAAAGCGUGGGGAGCAAACAGGAUUAGAUACCCCGGUAGUCCCAUGAU
rnacentral:rRNA from 1 species